rnacentral:lncRNA from 1 species
GUUCCUAUAAGUUCAGCAAGUCCGCUCUUAGCCAAAUCCCAAGCUGAACAUUCAUCUUGAAUUAGACUCUUGAGCCCUGAAGCAGAUAAACGAUGAUAUGCCCAGAUGGUCAUCAUUACAUACUAUGAUGUUGAAUGGAUGUCUCUGAUUGUCUCAAAUGCUCAAGUUUUAAGGAAUGAAGGUAGCACGAGUCAUUGUAGGUCAAGUUCAACAGGCCAGUGGUCAAUGACCAUAGAACGUGCUGUUGUCUGGUUCAGUACCAUUUCAAUAGCUACAUCAACACUGCCUCCAACGGAUCAAUAUAUACCAGCACAAGAUGAUGAUAACUCAAUGGAGAUAAGUCUGAUCAUUCCAUUUCAUUACAUUACUGAUUUUUAUUGUUAAACAUCAAACAUUGGAAUGAAUUGUUUCUAACUUACUGAUUAUCAAAAAUUGAUUAAUAAUAACUAAAAGCACUUCUGUUUAAGUUGAAAAAUGAAUUUAAAGUUCAACUUGAGAUAGUAGCCAAGAUAUUUCAAGUGUGCAGUUCGCUCAUAUGAUUGGUCUCAGUCAUAAAUAAAUUAUUUAUAUGAAUAAAUAUAUAAAUAGUUACGUCAAAACACAUAUACUUUGAUGAAGAAUUUGAUUUAAUUAAUACUUAAAGUGCCAUUAUUGACACCGGAAAAAAGGUUCAUCUGAUUAGGUGCCAAGUACUUUGUUCCGGUCCAAUCCAGCUACGACGUACUCCACUUUUAUCACUUGCUUAAAUCUCGACAUUUUCAACACUUCAAGAUCACUUGAUGACUUUUUAAAAUUGUUGUUUGCCAAAUUAAAUGAUCACUCAGUAACAACUUCAGUGGAGAUAAUUUGGGAGAAAAAAAAACAAAAUAAUAUGGCGUACCUUUGAUGAACAUUGGAUCACUUCACUAUUUUCUUCUAAAAUGGAUUUAUCCAUGAUAAAUUGGCACUGGGUUACGUAUUUGAAUAAUAUCAGGGUGCACGAAAAUGUCGUGCGACAUUUGAGCAACCCUGGCUAGCAUGUACUCCAAAGUAGGUCGACCGAGGUCACGGUAAAGCCGAAAUGCAACGUAGAUUUCCGAGGAUUGACGAACAACCCCCGUCAAACACACAACUACAAUUUAUCGAUAAGUUUACACAUAGUAAUUCAUGUCAUGCAAUAUUUCAUUCAUCCCUUAUUGUUACUAAAGCUUAGUAUGAUACCUAUUGACCUACUACAGCUACCUGCAAUGUCACAUAUAGUUUAUUAAUCAAUAGUAUUUUUUAUUUCAUUCAAGAUCAUCACAAGAAUUUCUUUGAUCAACUUAUAAUUAAUUUAUACUCUUAUUAAUUCAUACUGCUUUUCAAUUUUACUUGAUCGCGUGAUAAAAAUAAAGUAUAACGUCUU